rnacentral:tRNA from 1 species
GACACUAUGGCCGAGUGGUUAAGGCGACAGACUUGAAUUAUCUGUUGGGCUACGCCCGCGCAGGUUCGAGUCCUGCUGGUGUCG